UCGCGCUAUCAUAUGAGCCUGCGUUGGAUUAGCUAGUUGGURGGGUAAAGGCCUACCAAGGCGACGAUCUAUAGCUGGUCUGAGAGGACGAUCAGCCACACUGGGACUGAGACACGGCCCAGACUCCUACGGGAGGCAGCAGUGGGGAAUAUUGGACAAUGGGCGAAAGCCUGAUCCAGCAAUACCGCGUGUGUGAAGAAGGCCUUCGGGUUGUAAAGCACUUUCAAUUGGGAGGAAAACCUACCGGUCAAUACCCGGUAGCUUGACAUUACCUUUAGAAGAAGCACCGGCUAACUCC
rnacentral:rRNA from 1 species